rnacentral:rRNA from 1 species
AGCGUUGUUCGGAAUUACUGGGCGUAAAGGGCUCGUAGGUGGCCAACUAAGUCAGACGUGAAAUCCCUCGGCUUAACCGGGGAACUGCGUCUGAUACUGGAUGGCUUGAGUUUGGGAGAGGGACGCGGAAUUCCAGGUGUAGCGGUGAAAUGCGUAGAUAUCUGGAGGAACACCGGUGGCGAAGGCGGCGUCCUGGACCAACACUGACACUGAGGAGCGAAAGCCAGGGGAGCAAACGGG